rnacentral:rRNA from 1 species
GGUUAAGCGACUAAGCGUACACGGUGGAGGCCCUGGCAGUCAGAGGCGAUGAAGGACGUGCUAAUCUGCGAAAAGCAUCGGUAAGGUGAUUUGAACCGUUAUAGCGGGGGAUGUCCGAAUGGGGAAACCCAGUGCAAUUCGUUGCACUAUCGUUAACUGAAUACAUAGGUUAACGAGGCGAACCGGGGGAACUGAAACAUCUAAGUACCCCGAGGAAAAGAAAUCAACCGAGAUUCCCCCAGUAGCGGCGAGCGAACGGGGAGCAGCCCAGAGUCUGAAUCAGCUUGUGUGUUAGUGGAACGGUCUGGAAAGUCCGACGGUACAGGGUGAUAGUCCCGUACACCAAAAUGCACAGGUUGUGAACUCGAAGAGUAGGGCGGGACACGUGGUAUCCUGUCUGAAUAUGGGGGGACCAUCCUCCAAGGCUAAAUACUCCUGACUGACCGAUAGUGAACCAGUACCGUGAGGGAAAGGCGAAAAGAACCCCGGCGAGGGGAGUGAAAAAGAACCUGAAACCGUGUACGUACAAGCAGUGGGAGCACCUUUAUGGUGUGACUGCGUACCUUUUGUAUAAUGGGUCAGCGACUUAUAUUCUGUAGCAAGGUUAACCGUAUAGGGGAGCCGCAGGGAAACCGAGUCUUAACUGGGCGUUAAGUUGCAGGGUAUAGACCCGAAACCCGGUGAUCUAGCCAUGGGCAGGUUGAAGGUUGGGUAACACUAACUGGAGGACCGAACCGACUAAUGUUGAAAAAUUAGCGGAUGACUUGUGGCUGGGGGUGAAAGGCCAAUCAAACCGGGAGAUAGCUGGUUCUCCCCGAAAGCUAUUUAGGUAGCGCCUCGUGAACUCAUCUUCGGGGGUAGAGCACUGUUUCGGCUAGGGGGUCAUCCCGACUUACCAACCCGAUGCAAACUACGAAUACCGAAGAAUGUUAUCACGGGAGACACACGGCGGGUGCUAACGUCCGUCGUGAAGAGGGAAACAACCCAGACCGCCAGCUAAGGUCCCAAAGUCAUGGUUAAGUGGGAAACGAUGUGGGAAGGCACAGACAGCCAGGAUGUUGGCUUAGAAGCAGCCAUCAUUUAAAGAAAGCGUAAUAGCUCACUGGUCGAGUCGGCCUGCGCGGAAGAUGUAACGGGGCUAAACCAUGCACCGAAGCUGCGGCAGCGACACUUAUGUGUUGUUGGGUAGGGGAGCGUUCUGUAAGCCUGCGAAGGUGGCCUGUGAGGGCUGCUGGAGGUAUCAGAAGUGCGAAUGCUGACAUAAGUAACGAUAAAGCGGGUGAAAAGCCCGCUCGCCGGAAGACCAAGGGUUCCUGUCCAACGUUAAUCGGGGCAGGGUGAGUCGACCCCUAAGGCGAGGCCGAAAGGCGUAGUCGAUGGGAAACAGGUUAAUAUUCCUGUACUUGGUGUUACUGCGAAGGGGGGACGGAGAAGGCUAUGUUAGCCGGGCGACGGUUGUCCCGGUUUAAGCAUGUAGGCGGAGGUUCCAGGUAAAUCCGGUACCUUUUAACGCUGAGGUGUGAUGACGAGGCACUACGGUGCUGAAGUAACAAAUGCCCUGCUUCCAGGAAAAGCCUCUAAGCAUCAGGUAACAUUAAAUCGUACCCCAAACCGACACAGGUGGUCAGGUAGAGAAUACCAAGGCGCUUGAGAGAACUCGGGUGAAGGAACUAGGCAAAAUGGUGCCGUAACUUCGGGAGAAGGCACGCUGGUGUGUAGGUGAAGUCCCUGCGGAUGGAGCUGAGACCAGUCGAAGAUACCAGCUGGCUGCAACUGUUUAUUAAAAACACAGCACUGUGCAAACACGAAAGUGGACGUAUACGGUGUGACGCCUGCCCGGUGCCGGAAGGUUAAUUGAUGGGGUUAUCCGUAAGGAGAAGCUCUUGAUCGAAGCCCCGGUAAACGGCGGCCGUAACUAUAACGGUCCUAAGGUAGCGAAAUUCCUUGUCGGGUAAGUUCCGACCUGCACGAAUGGCGUAAUGAUGGCCAGGCUGUCUCCACCCGAGACUCAGUGAAAUUGAACUCGCUGUGAAGAUGCAGUGUACCCGCGGCAAGACGGAAAGACCCCGUGAACCUUUACUAUAGCUUGACACUGAACAUUGAGCCUUGAUGUGUAGGAUAGGUGGGAGGCUUUGAAGCGUGGACGCCAGUCUGCGUGGAGCCAACCUUGAAAUACCACCCUUUAAUGUUUGAUGUUCUAACGUUGGCCCGUAAUCCGGGUUGCGGACAGUGUCUGGUGGGUAGUUUGACUGGGGCGGUCUCCUCCCAAAGAGUAACGGAGGAGCACGAAGGUUAGCUAAUCCUGGUCGGACAUCAGGAGGUUAGUGCAAUGGCAUAAGCUAGCUUGACUGCGAGCGUGACGGCGCGAGCAGGUGCGAAAGCAGGUCAUAGUGAUCCGGUGGUUCUGAAUGGAAGGGCCAUCGCUCAACGGAUAAAAGGUACUCCGGGGAUAACAGGCUGAUACCGCCCAAGAGUUCAUAUCGACGGCGGUGUUUGGCACCUCGAUGUCGGCUCAUCACAUCCUGGGGCUGAAGUAGGUCCCAAGGGUAUGGCUGUUCGCCAUUUAAAGUGGUACGCGAGCUGGGUUUAGAACGUCGUGAGACAGUUCGGUCCCUAUCUGCCGUGGGCGCUGGAGAAUUGAGGGGGGCUGCUCCUAGUACGAGAGGACCGGAGUGGACGCAUCACUGGUGUUCGGGUUGUCAUGCCAAUGGCACUGCCCGGUAGCUAAAUGCGGAAGAGAUAAGUGCUGAAAGCAUCUAAGCACGAAACUUGCCCCGAGAUGAGUUCUCCCUGAGACUUUAAGUCUCCUGAAGGAACGUUGAAGACGACGACGUUGAUAGGCCGGGUGUGUAAGCGCAGCGAUGCGUUGAGCUAACCG